rnacentral:rRNA from 1 species
GGGUGCGAUCAUACCAGCACUAACGCACUGGAUCCUAUCAGAACUCCGCAGUGAAGCGUGCUUGGGCGAGAAUAGUACUAGGAUGGGUGACCUCCUCGGAAGUCCUUGUGUUACACCCC